rnacentral:rRNA from 1 species
CCUACGGGAGGCAGCAGUCGAGAAUCAUUCACAAUGGGGGAAACCCUGAUGGUGCGACGCCGCGUGGGGGAAUGAAGGUCUUCGGAUUGUAAACCCCUGUCAUGUGGGAGCAAAUUAAAAAGAUAGUACCACAAGAGGAAGAGACGGCUAACUCUGUGCCAGCAGCCGCGGUAAUACAGAGGUCUCAAGCGUUGUUCGGAAUCACUGGGCGUAAAGCGUGCGUAGGCUGUUUCGUAAGUCGUGUGUGAAAGGCGCGGGCUCAACCCGCGGACGGCACAUGAUACUGCGAGACUAGAGUAAGGGAGGGGGAACCGGAAUUCUCGGUGUAGCAGUGAAAUGCGUAGAUAUCGAGAGGAACACUCGUGGCGAAGGCGGGUUCCUGGACAGUAACUGACGCUGAGGCACGAAGGCCAGGGGAGCGAAAGGGAUUAGAUACCCGGGUAGUC